rnacentral:lncRNA from 7 species
UUUUCCUAUGUUAAUGGUUUUAUGAUUCUACAAGGCAGUAAGUAUUCACCAAUCAGAAGGCAGGAGCUCUCCAGUCCUGGUAGCUUCAGAAAAAUAGGAGUGAGCAGAGAAACAGCUCUUGGUAACUUGCCAUUGCAAAGUGAUGACAUCCCUCCUUCCACUCCCCCUCCCCACCCCUGGGUAUUUUUUUUUUUCCUCCCUCUGCUCAACACAAUCAUGAAUAUUAUUUCUCACCUUAUCUUCAAAAUCACCAAUUCUUAUCUGUGCUAAGAGGAAGGGGAUAAAAGCCAUAUUCAGCCUCAGGAAUACUCUCCCACCCGUCUGCUGUUUCAGUAUGAGUUGAAAAAGGAAGGAUGGGACAGAAUGCAAGAGCUUCAGGGAGGUUUUACCAAGACACACAGGAAAUUCUGUACAGGGUCUGCAGUCAUUCAAGAUAACUGGUUGUACAAGUCUGAAUGGGAAUAUUGCAAGUAAUUCUGAGGAAUCAGGAAAGAUGGGAAAAGAAAGAGGCCAGAGGCCUGGCAAUACCACACGAAUGCAAACCGUCAGCUGCACCAAACCCUUUUCACUCCUGGAGUCAAAAACAAUGCCCCAUUCUCUUACCUUCCUUUGGUCACAAAGUGGGACAAAGUACCUGCAUUUACCUACGUUUUUCAUGCUGGGGUUGGACUAGCAAAGACAGCUUCUUCAGAAGCCCAUCCAUCAGCUGCCUUCGGUUAGAAAGGAGCCUGAAGCUGAGAAAGAUUCCUUCUAACUGUGAGAUACGAACUCCCAAAGCAGUGAGUAGAUGCAGUGUUUCUCCAUGAGCAAUGCGUGCAUCACCAUAAAAGCAUUGUGCUGGUUUACUUGGACUCUAAAACUGCAGAGCUCAGCAAUACUUCAGCUGGCAUUUCUGUGAAGAUCAGCUGAGGGCACGACAUGCAAUAGCGUACCGUACAGGAGUCGCACUUCAAGUCAGAGACUGGAACGUGUCAGUUUACUUCAAGAGCAGUCUAAUCUCAUCUCUUUACGUAGGAGUAUACACACUUGUGAGCACUGAAAAGGCAAUGAUUGAAGGAAGAGGACAUAAAAUCUGCACCAAGUAUAAAUUUCAAGAAUGCUUCUAUUUGCCAUUUGCACGUUAAAUGAUGUUUUUUUGAAGAAGUAAUAGACACAAUAAAGAAGAUAACGCAAAUUGUUCUUUCUUGACACUGCAGAUCUCUAAAAGCUUCCUGAAAUGGCGUAACUGUAUUGUCAGUCCAGCUGCCUCCAGAUAAAAUGAAAUAAUGCUUUGUGGCACAAGCAGGUUAUGACAGUCUGAAUGGAAGAGCCUGAGCAGAACAAAACUCAAAAUGGAGCAAGGCUCCCCGACAGCAAAAUAACAAUGUGACCGACUUGAAAAGACAGAGGGAAUAAUGAAAUCAGAACAAGUGGUAGAGACUUACCAUCACGGUGUGCUCAGUUUGCUGCUCCGGAUAGUUACUUCUCUUGGAUUAAUUACUGAAGAAAGGAAAAUAGGUGUAUUUGUAGGUCACCCUAUUUGAGCUGGAAGGGUGGAAGAACGCAUGGUGCUGUGCAGGGCUGGUCAUAUGGGAGUUCUCACCCUUCUCCUCCAGGUGAGGAAUUAGGCUUCAUAGAGGCAUCUCUUGGUCAGUGGUUGGUGCUGGGAGUGGCUGCUGGGUCAGCUUCCUCCAAACCCUCUCCAGACUUUUUUCCAGAGCAAAUCCCAGUGAUGAACUCUGUAAGAGGUCAUCCCUCCUUUUACUACAUUGAAUGAUAUUCAUACCUUCCAGUAUACAAUCUGGAGCAAGCUUUCCAAAGGAAACCAAUCCAUUGUGCUGAAAAAAAUCACACAACGGAAUGAAAAUAUCUCCUUGUGCAGCCCGUUUGGUCCCUGUUAGAUGCAUUAGAUGGAUCAAUACCAGUUUACCAAGCUGGGUGGAAGAAGGUUGGAGCUACAUUAAAUUUGUUUCAUGCCUGCUUGAUUUCAAAUGUGAAGCAAGAACAAUAAAUGGACAUUGAGGAUUUCAAAGAGAACCUUUGCUGUUGGGGAAGUUAAAGUGAUCAAAUUUGAAAGAACAUAGACAAUGACAAGAUAUCUUUUCUGAGACACCAAAUCCUGAGCUUGGAAUGACGCAAUGGCAGCAACAACGCAUGGGAAAACUCAGUUCUCUCCCUUGUGCUUACACUUCAAGACUGGAGCUUUUUCCUCUGCACUGACGUGAGCAGAGUGAGAUCUGCACAGCCAGGUCAUUCAGGGAACAAACGGAGACUUGAAUGAGGUCUGGACUGUGCUCAUGUCCCACACAAUUGCUCGUUUUACCAGAGCAAACAAAGGAUGGCAAAAAGAGGGGAAGGCCCCAAUAAAGAAUGGAUUCAGGCCCAGAGGAGCCACUGUGCAGUCCUUCCUGCAACUUCGCAUUUAAUUUUUAAACACAUAAAGAUUAUGUCAAGUACUAGGGAAAAGAAUUAAAGAGAUUGCGAUAC